UACAGAGGGUGCAAGCGUUGUUCGGAAUUAUUGGGCGUAAAGGGCGCGUAGGCGGUGCGGUAAGUCUGUAGUGAAAUCUCUGGGCUCAACUCAGAGUCUGCUGCAGAAACUGCCGUGCUUGAGUGUGGGAGAGGUGAGUGGAAUUCCCGGUGUAGCGGUGAAAUGCGUAGAUAUCGGAAGGAACACCUGUGGCGAAAGCGGCUCACUGGACCAUAACUGACGCUGAGGCACGAAGGCUAGGGGAGCAAACAGG
rnacentral:rRNA from 1 species